CUUCACCGACCCGAGCCACAGCGGCCGGUCCCCGGGCCGUUCCCGGCCGUAGGUGGCGAGCAGGGCUCCGGCUUC
rnacentral:antisense_RNA from 1 species